rnacentral:rRNA from 1 species
UACGUAGGGCGCAAGCGUUAUCCGGAGUUAUUGGGCGUAAAGAGCUCGUAGGCGGUUUGUCGCGUCUGCCGUGAAAGUCCGGGGCUCAACUCCGGAUCUGCGGUGGGUACGGGCAGACUAGAGUGAUGUAGGGGAGACUGGAAUUCCUGGUGUAGCGGUGAAAUGCGCAGAUAUCAGGAGGAACACCGGUGGCGAAGGCGGGUCUCUGGGCCGUUACUGACGCUGAGGAGCGAAAGCGUGGGGAGCGAACAGG